UACGUAGGGGGCAAGCGUUGUCCGGAAUCAUUGGGCGUAAAGCGCGCGUAGGCGGCCCGGUAAGUCCGUUGUGAAAGUCAAAGGCUCAACCUUUGAACGCCGAUGGAUACUGCCGGGCUAGAGUCCGGAAGAGGCGAGUGGAAUUCCUGGUGUAGCGGUGGAAUGCGCAGAUAUCAGGAGGAACACCAAUAGCGAAGGCGAGUCCCUGGACAGGUCCUGACGCUGAGGCACGAAAGCUAGGGGAGCAAACAGG
rnacentral:rRNA from 1 species